rnacentral:lncRNA from 1 species
CAGAGUCAGAAACAAGAAGUUCAGUAUAACUCUCUCUGGAUGGAUAUUCUGUCUACUGCUGGGUGAUAUUGUUGAGGAAACUUUUAGAUGAACUAUAGAAAUCAUGUCUACUCUUUGCCUAAUUAUCUCAAGCUCCAUGGACUAUUCAAGGAUAGUUCAUGGUCCGCAAGCAGAAAUAGCUUAAGAGACUCUACAUAUUCUUCUCUCAGUGAACCUGGGAAACACAGUGUUUGGGGUGGCUCUAGCCCUGAAUUAUGCCAUCUUGUUGCUACCGCAGCCUGUACCACAAGGGAUUAGAGCGUAGACGCAGACAGUGACAGGAGACCUCUGCCAAAGGCCCUGGAGUGCUAGUGUUUACAUUGUGGAGUCAGGGUACUUCUUAGUGGUUUCCUUAGUGUACCAAGACACAGAUUUGGCCUCGUGAGGAGAAAGUUAGAAAUAAUAUUAUGACAAUAAAGAAAUAUUAUUCAGACAGCAAAUGACUGUUAUACUUUCUUGUUUGUUCAGAUUACUAUUAAAAAGAGAAAAACGUGUAAGUUCACCAUAAAUCAUCCUUUAAGUGGGUCGCACUAUACAAUGGUUUGGGCUAAACAAAGGUUUGAAAAUUUUGGGGGGCCAGAGUAAUGGCAAAUCACUGUGUACACAUAAAUCUUUGGUAUCAGACAUAUACUAAAUUUGGUUCUGAAAAUUCCUGCCAACAAAUACAUGGAUGUGAACCUGGGCCAGCUGAGUUUUCUGAAUUGCAAAUGCCUUUCCAACAGAAGACAAACAGCUGUUUCCUUCAAAGCAACCACACACACGGACACAUCUCUUAGGUAAAGGUUUAAACUAACAUACUGCAGAAGAAACAGCUAUGAAGUGUCUUUAACUGGGAAAAGAAAUACAGCCUUCUAAACUCAUGGUCUCUGCAAAGCCUGCCGUGCUAAGGCAAUCUUGACAAACUGUACCAACAAUACAGUUCACACCUGGUUCUGAGGUUCAGAUGGAAGAAACGCUAAUUUCUCCAUAUGUGUAAAACAGCCCUUCUCAGCCUAUUCUUUUUAUCAUCCUUGGAUAAUUUUUUAGACAUUUUUCUUUGGUUUUUAAUCCAUACCAACCCUGCUCAAAUUUCAGUAGGACGGGUAGGCUAUAUAUCUGUUUAUGUAUCUCACAAGCCAGUUAAGAUAAUAAAGAUUUUUUUUCAUCUUCAAGAACCAAUUUUCAUCCAUGAGGAUUAUCAAUUAUGUUGCAAAAACAUACUCUGUACAGUAACUUGAGAAAAAUAACUAAAUCGGUGAGUUCAUAUAGGAUGUUGCAGCUUGUCAUGCACAGUGCUGGGAAGCAGUUUCCCUUCCUGUUUGCUUCAAUUUAGGAUCAGGGAGAUAAAGAACACCCUUUCAAUAAUUAGGAUAGACACAAGAUAAAAAUAAAGAUUGUGUCACUUACAGGUCCUGGGGAGUACAUGGCAUGCCUGGGGUCACACAUAGAGGUCAGGAAGUGCACGGAAAGAGGGAAGGGAGUAAGGAGUAGGGGAAAAGGGAGGGUGUAGGAACAGGGAAGGGGACGUUACUAGGACCUCUGUAGUUGAGUCCUACUCUCCUGUGAGCCACGGCAGCACAAGGUGAAUUAACUUAUUAUACAGGAAAGGUAGAAGCUACACUUUGCGCCCGAUCAGUACUGCUCUGGGUGGCAAAGACGAAAGGCCCUGAGCUUGUCACACCUUUAUUCAGUACAUCGGGAGAAAUAAAUGUAACAAAUGACUCGGGGGCAGGGGAAAUCCUAGAUCAAUGAGGAACUGAGUAGAUGAAGAUUUCAUUCUUCCCAGGAUGUCUUCAGCUGGUGUAAUCCUGCCCUGGGAGCAUCACAGCAUCACUGGACCAUUGAGGUCUCAGUUGUGACCAAAGGCCAAAAUGAAGCCAUGUCUCGAAAUGCCGUAGCUGGCCUGUAGGCAGGAGAACUAGGCCUAAUCAAAUGAUUUCUCCCCCAAAUUAUGUAGAAUUGCUCCCGACAGGAGAGGGAGAGGAGAUAUAUAUCUGCCCCAGAUCCACAUCCAUAUAUUUCUUAGGAGACAGAGACAGAGACAGAGACAGACAGACACCAGGGUGCUCUUCAAACAGGUUUCCCUUUGGAUUUCACUGAUGAGCUUAAAGCAAGUGGGCAUGAGUUCCAUGGAUUCACACUGUGAUGGGGAGUGGUCACUGUGGUGCAUCUGCACAUUCUGCGUGGGGAAUGGGAGUCAACAGUGCCAGUCAAGGGGGCUGUCAAGCUAUGCCAACCAGGAGGCAGUUAUAAAGGGCAGCUAUCUGCCUGGACUACACUGAGCAACUGAGAAGGGGCAUGGAACUGGAAACUUCAUGGCUAAAUGGAUGAGAAGGGUAAACACAUUCCAAGUGCACACUGAGUCCACAUAAAAGUGUAGGAAUUUACCACAUUCUUCCAAAACUCAUACCCAACAGGGCACACUGCUGAGGCCUCAGUGACAUUCUCUCAACCAGGUGCCUCAUUUUGGCCCAAUACCAUCUUCCUUCCUAAAAGACAGAAUCAUUCAAACAGCCUUGAUCCCCAAUGCCUUUAUGAUAUAAGCCAAGCACAGGGAUAUCAAAACUGCUAGAAUUUAAAAGUAUCCAAACUAUGAGUGACUCAUUAUACUCUUAAUACUGAUCAACUAUAAGUCUAUUAAAAAUAGAUUACAUAAUUAGCUAAAAAAUUCUAAGUGGCUAUAAACACAUCAAUUUGUAAUCAGUGAUACUACGUUUUUGAAGGAUCUUCUGGAAAAUUCACAAGGAUGAGUACUGAUACCAGCAGAACCCAAAUGUAAAUGCCAUGCUGGAUAGUAAGUGAUACUAGAACCUUGUCUUCCUCCAUAGAUCUCCCCUGGAGGAAGCACAACAAAGCAACCAAGAACAUUCCUGAUAUUUCCUUUCAAUCCUAAUUUAAGUGUGUCCAUUUACUAAAGAUCUAUCAGUUACACUCAUUCAUGCAUAACCCCAACUUUUGGUUUCAUGGAUUUUCUCUAUUUUUUUCUUUCUUUAUGUCAUCAAUUUUUUCUCACAUCUUUAUUAUUUACUUACCUCUGGUUGCUUUUAGCUUCAUUUUCUUAGUAUUUUUCUUAUUUUUUUAACUGGAAGCUUGAGCUAUUUAUCUUUAUUCCAAUGUAGUCAUCUCACUAAGCACAUCAUUAGUUGUAUUACAUUCAGUAUAAAAUGUUAUGGUUUAAAACUUUUUCAUUCAUCCAUAGGUUCUAUAAAGUGUGUUAAUUUCCAAAUAUUUGGCAAUUUCCAAAUUCAUUUUUGUUCUGACUUCUAUUUUUCCUAUCAGCAUAGAACAUAGUCUACAUAAUUUCAAUUCUUUUAAGUUUAAUGAGUAUAUUUUUAACCUAAUCUCUCUUUGUAUAUUCUCCUCCUGCCCCCCAAGGUCAAGUUGGUGGAUAAAAGUCUUAUUACUGUUGAAUUACCUUUUAUCCAUUUCAUCAUGUGAUCUUUUCCUUUACCUAACUUGGAGCACUGUUGUUAGUGAUUGUAUGAUUAUAAUUAUUAAGUAUUCCAGAGUAUAAUUAACCUUCUACCAUGAUAUAAUAGAUUUGUUUAUCUCUAGCAAUAUUUUAUCUUCAAGUCUGUUUUCUGGGAUGUCAGUAUAGCCACUCCAGCUAUCUUCUAGGAAUUCUUUCCCUCCCUCUUUCUUCUCUUUCUCUGUCUCUGUCUCUUUCGCAGCUUUUCUCAUUCAAACUAUUUGUGACUUUUAAGAGUGUCUUGGUGGUAGAUAGUCUACAGUGACUUCAUUUUUUUUUAAAACAUAGAAUAUCCCAGUCUCUUCAAAAGUUGAAGGCAACUGUCAUAAGGCCGGAUUUAUGACUGUCAUUUUCCUCUCUGUUUCCUAUGUCUAUGUCUCUUUGAUUCUUUGUUCAUUUUUAAAUGCCUUUUUUUGUGUAAAAAAUAGGUAUUUUCUGUGAUGCUAUUUUAAUUCUUUGGAAAUUCUUCUAAUCUUUUUGAGUUAUUUUCUUCACAGUGGUCCUAGUGUUUAUGAAAUGUAGUUGGUUUUGUUUUGGUAGUAAAAUAUGCACAAGACAAUUAAUCAUUUUUAAGUGUACAAUUCAUUGACAUUAAUUGUAUCCACAACCAUGCAGCCCUAUACCCCACCCACUUCCAGAACUUAAAUUAGCACAAUGUACUUUAGAUUAAAAAUGACUUUGUCAUGUAGCCCAUUCUAUGUCUUACAGAGAAGCAGCUGUUGCUUAUUUUGUAUACAUUCUCAAUAGAUCAUUUAUUACAGUCAUCCUUUAUCCAGCACAUUUGUAAAAGGGACAGGUGACAGAUACUAAAUGCUAAAUAUCCCACCCCUCUUGCACACUAUUAAGUCAUGGAGACCAGGGAAUACAAUGAGCCAGCCCAUGACUGACCAGCACAGACAGACUCUCAUUAUCACUGCAGUGUUGCAAUUCCCUAAGAAGAGUAUCAGCAUUGUCAUGUGCAGGAAAAAAUGUUUAUCGUGAGAAUUUCCACUAUGUCUCAAGAAUGGAUGGUAGAAUUAUUUCUAACAAUUCCCUUCAUGUUAUGUCUUAAGAGCAAUGCAUAAACUUUUUCAUAUAUAACCUAUUUUUGGUAUGUGUUGACCUGUGGGAAUACAGUAAAAAUGUGAGAACAUGAGAAGCACAUGUGUCCACGUACCAGAUAAGAGGAUUUAUUAUGUGUCUGCAUAGAAGGUAUAUUAACUUAUAACUCUACUGAGAUGUUUCUGAUAUCAUUAUAGUACUGAUAGUGCAAAAUUCUGAGGGAGGAAAAAGAAGCCCUGGAUGUUUCACCAAUUUACUAAUGUCUUAUACUAUUUGGAUUAACAGACUUUGUAAAAGAAAUUUAAUUCUAACUUACUAAUAAAAAUCACUUAGAAAAAUACAUGUAUUAAAAAUGGCAGGCAUCAUUUUGAUCUCUCACACAGAAGAAGCUGGUGACAAACUAAAGUGACAAAAAUUGUCUUUCUUUGGUGUUAGUAAGAAUUCCAAGCAGCAAACUUUUGUUCCUUCCCAUCAACAUCAUUUCCAAUCUACAAUAGAGGAUUUGGGGAAUUGGAAAGCAAAACUUACCUAACUGAGUAUUUAGCAACAAGUGCUUGCAAAGAAUUUUCCAGGUAAUCAUUUAACCAUCUGUAUGACAAGAACAAUUAACACUAACUCUGUGGAAUGUGGAUGAAUAGAAAUAAAAUGAAAUGGGAUAAUACUAGAAAACAGAAAAAAAUGAAAUUGUAGAAAUAAAAUUUCUAAAAUACUGGUCUUGAAGUGUCAUUAGUACACCCACCACAUUAUAACUGUGGUCUAUCUUCAAAAUGGCUGAAAACCCUUUGAGGAUAUAUAAAACUGGCCAAGAAAAUCCACAUAAAAACAAGAAUUAGAAACAUAAUCAUUUCACAUCUAAAAUGCUUGUAGCUGAAGCUAACACUCAUUUGUAUAUGAAAUCACUCAGCCUAUGAGAAAAAAGAAACAAUUCAAUGCUAGAGCCUAGUUAGCAA